rnacentral:lncRNA from 1 species
GUGGUCAGCAUAUGUGCGUGGGAACUUGCUGGAAGGAAGGAAUGACCCUUCUAGCCAUGGAACGGUGGUCAUCCGUGAGCCACGGCCUCAGGAGGUGCCUUCCUAAUGUGCAGGUGACGAUUGCCUCUGAGCUCAGGCAUGCAGCUUCUGGGAUGCACUCUCCUUUCACGGCAAAGCAUUCUGCAUAGGAAAAACCGUCUCUGCGUCUCCAAGCUGUGGCCUAGCCCUUCAUUCAUCAAAUGGGAUACAACUUUCAUUUCUUAUUAAAAUCUGGAAGUCACUCUCCAUUUGUAAGAUAUCCCAGGGGUUGAUGUCAUCUUGUAAAGGGGGACAGUGCCAUUUUCUAUCUUACACUUUAAAAAGACAAAACCACUAGCUACAAACAUCAUUCACCACAGCAUGGGAGAGGCAACCCCACAGCAAAGGUUAUGUCAUGUUUCAUAAAUGGGUAUGGAUUUGGGGGCUGGUUUUUUUAAUAAAAACAUAUUUUGGUACUUUGGAACUUGACAUAAUUUGAGCUGUUUAUGUUGUAGAUGUUAUGAAUAGAUGUUAUGGUAUUAAUUAAUAGUGUGUAUUUUCUAUGUCUGGGCUUGCCUGGACCGCUGGUCCUUGCCUUUCUUUCUGACACAGAAUUUCCAGGGCCUCAACCUGCUUCUGUCUGGAAGUGACAGCCCACUCCACAGGGGUCUUCAGAUAGGGGUAGAAGGUGGUGCCCUGGGCUCUCCUGGCUCUAGAGAAUCUGGCUCUAGAAUCACGAAGCCUUCCAGCAUCCCCAGCUUCCCCCUUGCAGUAAUCCCAUAAGGGAAGCGUUGUCCCAUUUUACAGAGAGUCCGUGGGGCUGAGAGGUGUCAUGAAUUAUUCUAAUGGUAGUAACUCUAUUGGAGAGGCUGAAACCCGGGGCUCGUGGAUGUUGUGACCCACCCCCCACCAGAACCUCCCAUCCUGACUCACUGAAUAUUUAGUACCAUCGUCCCCUGGAGGAUGGUCUAGUUGGCAAGUAGCUGAGGAUUUUUAAUUCUAAUUUAGUUUAAACAUGGCUGUUUGUUGCUGUUGCUCUCUAAAGGGCCUUAUUAAAGACUCUUGCUGCAGUGAAGGUGGCCUGUCUAGGAAUCGAUAUGGAUGUUGAGAUCUGAGACUCUACAACACCCCCAAUCUCAGUCCUUCUCGCUCCAUAGGCAGUUCCAUUCCCUGCAGAUCUAACUCUGAGAUUCUCACUCCUGAAAAUGCCUGGACAAUAAAUAAAUCCAAGGUGAAGGUGUUGAUGCCAGUGACCUAGCUGCAUCAUUUUAUUCAUGGCAUCAAGCCUUCAAGAAUGUGGCUUAACUUGUAUUUAUUCACAUGAUAAUGGCUUUUUAUAAAUCUGCAUCUCUUCCUCCCCUAG